ACCCGUCUUGAAACACGGACCAAGGAGUCUAACAUGUGCGCAAGUCAUUGGGUUUAUUAGACCUAAAGGCGCAAUGAAAGUGAAGGUCUCGCCUAGCGCGGACCAAGGGAAGAUGGAGUUCGCAGUAGCGUCUCCCGCAUUCCCGGGGCGUCUCGUUCUCACUGCGAGUUGAGGCGCACCUAGAGCGUACACGUUGGGACCCGAAAGAUGGUGAACUAUGCCUGGCCAGGACGAAGUCAGGGGAAACCCUGAUGGAGGUCCGUAGCGAUUCUGACGUGCAAAUCGAUCGUCGGAGCUGGGUAUAGGGGC
rnacentral:rRNA from 1 species